rnacentral:rRNA from 1 species
AGUGAACGCUGGCGGCGUGACUAAUACAUGCAAGUCGAAGGAAGUGGCGCAAGGGUGAGGAAUAUAUAGCUAAUCUGCACCGUGCUGGAGGACAACAGUGAGAAAUGACUGCUAAUACUCCAAAGCAAGGGAUGAGAAUAGAUAGUAUCAGCUAGUCGGUGGGGUAACGGCCUACCGAGGCUAUGACGCGUAACUGGUCUGUGAGGAUGAUCAGUCACAUUUGAACUGAGACACGGUCCAAACUCCUACGGGAUGAAGCAGUAGGGAAUAUUGCGCAAUGGGGGACACCCUGACGCAGCAACGCCGCGUGGAGGAUGACACUUUUCGGAGCGUAAACUCCUUUUGUUAGGGAAGCGGUACCUAACGAAUAAGCACCGACUAACUCCGUGCCAGCAGCCGCGGUAAUUC